AACGAACGCUGGCGGCAUGCCUAACACAUGCAAGUCGAACGAGACCUUCGGGUCUAGUUGCGCACGGGUGCGUAACGCGUUGGAACCUGCCCUUAGGUUCGGAAUAACUCCCCGAAAGGGGUGCUAAUACCGGAUAAUGUCGUCGGACCAAAGAUUUAUCGCCUUUUGAUGGGCCCGCGUUGGAUUAGCUAGUUGGUAGGGUAAAAGCCUACCAAGGCGACGAUCCAUAGCUGGUCUGAGAGGAUGAUCAGCCACACUGGGACUGAGACACGGCCCAGACUCCUACGGGAGGCAGCAGUGGGGAAUAUUGGACAAUGGACGAAAGCCUGAUCCAGCAAUGCCGCGUGAGUGAUGAAGGACUUAGGGUUGUAAAGCUCUAUUACCCGGGAUGAUAAUGACAGUACCGGGAGAAUAAGCUCCGGCUAACUCCGUG
rnacentral:rRNA from 1 species